rnacentral:lncRNA from 1 species
UUUUUUUUUUUUGGCCACAGAUGUGGCAUGCAAAAGUUUCCAGGCCAGGGAUCAAACCACAGUAUUGACAACACUGGAUCCUGAACCCAGUAACGCCAAUAAUUAAUUAUUUCUUAACUUUGUGUUAUCAGAUUAAAAAUACAUUGUCAAUCAACUGCAAUGGAAAAAAAUUAAAAUCUUAAAAAAAUAGAUUGUCAAGAUUAUUCUUGUCACUCUAAACCACAAAUGAGAUUGUUUUGCUUGUUUUCUUAUCAUAGCAAUGAAUUUACUCCAUGUGGUUUGCAGUGUAUCUCUUUUUUUUUUUUUUUUUGGCCACCCUGUGGCAUAUGGAUCAGAUCCAAGCAACAGUUGUGUCCAAUGCUGCAACUGUAGCAACACUGCUCCUUUAAGCCACAGAAGGGGGCCAGGGAUCAAACCUGCAUCCUGGCGCUGCAGAGACGACACCAACUCCAUUGCACCACAGCGGGAAUUCCUGUGUCUCCUUUUUAAACCUAUUUAUUUCUAUACCAAAACAGAAUUCCUCAUAAAAUUAAAUAUAGAAUUCCCAUAAGACCCAUCAAUUCCAUUCCUAGGUAAAUGCCCAUCAAAUUAAAAAUAGGGAUGCCAACAUGUAUACCACAUUCACAGCAAUAGCCAAAAUGUGGAAACAACCCAAGUGUCCAUCAACAAAUGAAUGGAUAAGCAAAAUAUGAAAUAUGCAUGCAGUUGGGUGAAAUUCUGACACAGGCAACAACAUGGAUGGACCUUGAAAACAACAUGCUGAGUGAAAUAAGCCAGAUAUAAUAGGACAGUGGUGAGUGAUCCCACUUAUAUGAAAUACCUAGAAUAGGCAAAUUCUUAAGAGACAAAAAGUGGACUGCAGGUUAACAGAGGCUGGGGUUGUUACUUAAUUGGUACAGAGUUUCUGUUUGGGUGAUGCAAAUGCUUGGAAUUAGGCAGUGGUGAUGGUUACGCAACACUGCGCAUAUAAUGAAUACCAUUGAAUUAUACACUUUCAAAUGGUUAAAGUAAUAAAUGUUAUGUGUAUUUUAGACAUGAUUAUUUUCUAAAUCAGACUUUAUACUAGUAUGAUAGUGUUUGGGUACUAAAGCAAAGAUAAAUCUUAUUGGCUUGAAUUUAAAGUCUUCGUGGAGUUCCCUGGUGGCUCAGCAAGUUAAGGAUCUGGCGUUGUCACUGCUGUGGCUCAGGUCGCCUAUUUAAAUUUGAAAAGAAUUGUCUGUUACAGCUCUGAUAGCCAAGGAUCAGUAUUUAUUGAGAGCGUGCCAUAUACCAGGCUGCCUGCUACACAUUUUAUCGGCAUGACCUCAUUUAAUCCUCACAAGGAUUGCGUGAGGCUGGUAUAAUUAUCCUCAUCUGAGAGAGAGGUUAUCAGAGGUUUAGAAGGCCCAGUGACUUGUUCACACACAGCAGGUGAGUAGGAGUGGCAUUUGGACCUAGGUCUGAGGGACCCCCGAACCCCGGCUCCCAGCUGCUGCUCAGUCCCAUAGCAGAAAGAACGUCAGAGCCAAACUACCACAGAGCUUUCUCCCUGGAAAAACUAUUAGCCUGGAAAAUAAGACCUGCGUCCAGCCAGGAGCCAGCUCUGCUGUGCAUUCUUAUUCUACCUGGUGAUGAUGCUGCAGCCCCUUCAGGGCUAAAGGGCUGAAAGACACAGGCGCAAAACAGGACAGACUUUGCUGGCUCCCACAAAGUCAGGUCAUCUUCAGAGUAAGUUUCAUCAUUUUGCCCUAAACUAAUUGAAAUCUCCCCAAAUUAGAUACAUCCUUAUUUCAAUGUAAUUAAAAUAUGUAUGAGAACACAGGAUUAUUUUUAGAUUAGGUUUCCUCCUAUUCGCACAUCACUAAUACAAUCAAGAAUUGCUCGCCUGAGAUUCCAGGCUCCGAAGCAGACACAGCUAACUCAGCUUUGCAAUGAAGAUUCACUGGCCUUCAAAUAGUCUCUUAAGUCUGUUUUAACCAUGAGUCUUCUGUCCCCCUUUAUCGCAACAUUAAUUAGGAUCCUUAACAAGAUUCGCAUUGGGCUUAUCUGUGUUGCCAGUGACCCUCAGCAAGAGAAGGAGGAAAAAAAGCAAGAAAAGGAAAUAACAGUACAACCGAGCCUUGGCUUGCCUGUGGGCUAUUGCAAAACCAUGGCAUAUUUGCAUUCGUUGGCCAAAACCAUUGAAAAUCAACCUAGGAAUUAGCUAACAGCAACAAAAAUAAAUCAUCGGAACAUCCGUACAGUGACACAAUGUAGAUAUUAAGAAUGAGUCAGAUCGCUGGAGUUCCCGCUGUGGCCCAGUGGGUUAAGAGUCUGACCUCUGCACAGCACAGGAACUUUCAUAUGCCGUGGGUAUGGCCAAAAAAAAAAAGAAAAGAAAAGAAAAGAAUGAGUCAGGUCUCUUAACAGAGCAAAGCAUCAUGCAAAUCAAUGGACGAAGCUUUGGAAGUUGAAGCCAAGUUGAGCCAUCAUCCUUGCAGACAUGGAGAGAGAUCCGAAAAUAGAAAUAAGGUCCUUAAACAGGAAGCAACCAAUGCCAUGACAAACAGCCUGGAGACAAAAAUUGCAAGGACUUUAUAGAGGAGCAGUUGAGGUACAAAGAGCACGAAUCUAAAGCCAGGGCCCUAUUUCUCAACACCACGAGGGCUGAAGCUCCUCACCGCGGCUCCGCGAGGAGGAACUGACCACAAUAAUCAGAACUCCGCUGACCAGCAUUUGUAUUGUUACAUUUAUCUGUGCUUAAAAUACUAAACACACACAUAGACCUCAUUUCUUAGGAUUCAUAUGUUCUCUUUUUUUUCUGUAAAGCCCAAAAUUUAUAGGGCCUUUGGUAAUAACUCUACAUAGCAAUUUCUGCCCUGAUUACUAACUACCAAUAGCCAAAAUCCGUUACCUGCUGUGGGUAACACCCAAUAAGCAGUGCUGUGUUAGUUAGUUAUGGCCACAUAACAAAUUAACACAAACCUAGGAGUUCCCUUGUGGUGCAGCAGGUUAAGGACCGACAUUGUCACUGCAGCGGCCUGGGUCAAUGCUCCGCACUUCAGUCCUUGGUAUGAGAGAGAACUUCCACCUGCCACAGGCACAGCCAAAAAAGGGGUAGUCUUUUGGGGGUUUUGUUUUUUGGUUGUGCCCAUGGCAUGUGGAUGUUCCCAGGGGCCAGGGAAUGACCCAGUGCCCCAGCUGUGACCUGAGCUGCUGCAGUGACAGCGCUGGAUCCUUAAUCCAUUGUGCCACAGAGGAGCUCCGAAAAGUGUGGUCUUUAUUCCAGGGACACCAAGGGGCCACAGAAGUAUUUUCAGCAAGUAUUUCCCUCAAGGCCCUGGAGAAAAUGGAUUAGAGAAAUGAGAGGCAAGACCAACUGGGAGCUAAUUAAAGUGCUCCAGGUGAGCUAUGUCAGGUCUGGGCAGUGACAUUUACCUGCAUCUCUGAGCCGCCCACCUAUACCAUCUGUCCAUUUCAUUCCUGUCUAAUUAUAAGUUCAGAUAGCUCCAGCAUCUAAUAUAAUAGAUCAUAUGUCUUAAAGAUAUACAUUUGAUAUAUAGUUUAUGUUUGUCAUCAUAUACACACAACAUAAAGCAGCUUGCUUUAAAUUACAUUUACUUAUUACAUGGCUAUGAAAUUAUAUAAAGCAUUGAUUUUGCUUAUAAACUCCACAAAUUCCCUCCUACAGCUUCUUCCUGGACUUGUUCUUAGUCUAUCACUUGAAUAUAUUAUUCUGGGCCAACCGUCCUCCUUUUCUAACUUUGCUUAACCCUUAGCAGAAACCAAAAUCACUGAGCAAAUCAUGUCCCUGAUUCUCUAGAACCUUGACUGAUGGCUGAGCUAUGGUUCAGGAGCUAUAGGGAUACAUGCAGUGGGAGAGGGGAAGGGGAGGGGCCCAGACAUCUCUAGGAAUCUGAUGACGGUGCAUCCCUAAUGGAGUACCGGCACCCCUAAGCGAGCUUGUGGUCUCACGAGAUGGGAAAUAGCUUUGGGGUACCAGCCUGAAUCAACAGGGUCAUAUGAACCAGCUGGAAACCGUCACCUGGAUGAGGUCAUAGUGGUCACGGGUACUCUGGCCCCUGAAAUGAGGGCUCCGUCUGACUUGAGGCAGUCGCUCAUCUCUUUGAACUUGAGUUUCUCAAGAUGAGAGUGGUAAUGAAGACACUUACCCCCUGGAAGCGAUGUCCUGAUGUGCUGGCCAUCUGCUUGGAAAUCUGUGUUGGCUCAUGUUCAUGAUCAAGGCAAAUGUAACCUGUCCUUUCAGCUGACUCUGCCUGAUGUUGCUUUUACAGCUAUGACUGGUAGUUUAGUUUACUCUUCAAUUGCUUUAUUUAAACUCGAAUCUAGUUAUAUAAACACACCUCAGCACAAUUUAUAGGCUGGUGAUUCUUUCUAUCAUGGCUGGCUUGUUUUUCUUCUUGAAACAAACUCUUGAGUCUAGACUUUGUCAGGUUGAUACAUGAGUUUGGGGACUGUUUAUACCGAAACCAUAUACACAUUCCAGACACGUGCCUUGUUACUGAUCUGAAAUAAAGAUGAUGAGCCUUUGACUUGUAAAGAGACACUCAAGAAGUCGUUUGAAGUGCACACGCUCAUCUAUUGCUAAAAAGAGGCACACAAAGCUUCUUCAAAACUUGCUUCGCUGCUUUGGGAGAGGUGGCUGUUAGGGAGCAACUUCAGAUCAAUAUGGGAAAGAACCCAUAAUUCAAACACUUUCACAAUGAAAAGGGCUAGAGAAUCUCUUCCUAGUGAUUUCCCUCACGGAGGAAGUCCUCAAAUGGAACUGAUGGGCAUCUUCCAGAAAUGGCAGAAAAGGGUUCCAUCAACCAACAGGAAAGAAGAUGGAUUUGGAGGUGAUCUCUCAAUUCCAAUAUCCUAUCUUAGAUUUCUCCAAUAAACCUAUGCGAAUGAAGAUAGGAUUGUAUCAAUGACUUCAACCCUAAAACCAGAUCUUUACAAACGGUGAAUGUGGUGAUCCUACCUUGGGGGGGGUGGGGGUCGGGGGUGAGGAUAUGGGUGCAGGUGUGCCGUGGCACGCUGGGUAUUUUAGGCCAAAUGUAUAGUCCAAAGAACACAUUUCUAAGCUAUCCAAACACAGACAAAUUGUACUCCGUAAGUCAAUAUCCGGUGCCUUCUCCUUUCGAGGGCUGAGAAAACAAACCUAGAAAUGGCCAAGUUUACUUCGCCCUCCUGUCAGAGACCUCGGACCAUUGGAGGGGGAUUCCAGUAAAGGCCAGGCCUAAAGCAGAGGGAAGGGGAACUCUUGGUCCCUCAGAAGUGACUGAUGUUCAUGGCGCCCUGACAAUCAGACUCCUGCUAAGGUGCGUGAGAUGCAAAUCU